ACGGGUGGGUAACACGUGGGCAACCUGCCCUUGAGACUGGGAUAACUUCGGGAAACCGGAGCUAAUACCGGAUAAUAUAAGGAACCUCCUGGUUCCUUAUUGAAAGAUGGUUUCGGCUAUCACUUAAGGAUGGGCCCGCGGCGCAUUAGCUAGUUGGUGAGGUAACGGCUCACCAAGGCGACGAUGCGUAGCCGACCUGAGAGGGUGAUCGGCCACACUGGGACUGAGACACGGCCCAGACUCUUACGGGAGGCAGCAGUAGGGAAUCUUCCACAAUGGACGAAAGUCUGAUGGAGCAACGCCGCGUGAGUGAUGAAGGCCUUCGGGUCGUAAAGCUCUGUUGUUAGGGAAGAACAAGUGCGAGAGUAACUGCUCGCACCUUGACGGUACCUAACCAGAAAGCCACGGCUAACUACGUGCCAGCAGCCGCGGUAAUACGUAGGUGGCAAGCGUUAUCCGGAAUUAUUGGGCGUAAAGCGCGCGCAGGUGGUUUCUUAAGUCUGAUGUGAAAGCCCACGGCUCAACCGUGGAGGGUCAUUGGAAACUGGGGAACUUGAGUGCAGAAGAGGAAAGUGGAAUUCCAAGUG
rnacentral:rRNA from 1 species